UGGGGAAUAUUGGACAAUGGGCGAAGCCUGAUCCAGCCAUGCCGCGUGUGUGAAGAAGGUCUUCGGAUUGUAAAGCACUUUAAGUUGGGAGGAAGGGCAUUAACCUAAUACGUUAGUGUUUUGACGUUACCGACAGAAUAAGCACCGGCUAACUCUGUGCCAGCAGCCGCGGUAAUACAGAGGGUGCAAGCGUUAAUCGGAAUUACUGGGCGUAAAGCGCGCGUAGGUGGUUUGUUAAGUUGGAUGUGAAAGCCCCGGGCUCAACCUGGGAACUGCAUCCAAAACUGGCAAGCUAGAGUACGGUAGAGGGUGGUGGAAUUUCCUGUGUAGCGGUGAAAUGCGUAGAUAUAGGAAGGAACACCAGUGGCGAAGGCGACCACCUGGACUGAUACUGACACUGAGGUGCGAAAGCGUGGGGAGCAAACA
rnacentral:rRNA from 1 species